rnacentral:rRNA from 1 species
AGAGUUUGAUCAUGGCUCAGGAUGAACGCUGGCGGCGUGCCUAACACAUGCAAGUCGAGCGAUUCUCUUCGGAGAAGAGCGGCGGACGGGUGAGUAACGCGUGGGUAACCUGCCCUGUACACACGGAUAACAUACCGAAAGGUAUGCUAAUACGGGAUAACAUAAGAAAUUCGCAUGUUUUUCUUAUCAAAGCUCCGGCGGUACAGGAUGGACCCGCGUCUGAUUAGCUAGUUGGUGAGGUAACGGCUCACCAAGGCGACGAUCAGUAGCCGACCUGAGAGGGUGAUCGGCCACAUUGGAACUGAGACACGGUCCAAACUCCUACGGGAGGCAGCAG